GAAAUGCGAUAAGUAAUGUGAAUUGCAGAAUCCAGUGAAUCAUCGAAUCUUUGAACGCACCUUGCGCUCCUUGGUAUUCCUUGGAGCAUGCCUGUUUGAGUAUCAUGAAAUCUUCAAAGUAAAUCUUUUGUUAACUCAAUUGGUUUCUACUUUGGUAUUGGAGGUCUUUGCAGCUUCACACCUGCUCCUCUUUGUUCAUUAGCUGGAUCUCAGUGUUAUGCUUGGUUCCACUCGGCGUGAUAAGUUAUCUAUCGCUGAGGACACUGUAAAAGGUGGCCAAGGUAAAUGCAGAUGAACCGCUUCUAAUAGUCCAUUGACUUGGACAAUACUUUUAUGAUCUGAUCUCAAAUCAGGUAGGACUACCCGCUGAACUUAAGC
rnacentral:misc_RNA from 1 species